UUAUUCAAUUCAAAUUCAAGCUGUUAAAUCGAGGCUCUCAGACUCCUGCUGCCUGGCCAGUGGAGAAAUUAACUUUCACAUAUGGCUUUGGGAUUUCUCUCUGUCAUCCUGGUCGACGUGUUCUCUCAUUUUUCUGAAGUCUGGGACCUCAACACAGACAUCUGGGUGAAGGCCUUGACAGCAGCGCUGGUGCAAAAUGAAUUGUCACAUCACACCCAACGUUCUCAACCUUUAGAAUCUGAAAGUAAGAAAAACACCUCAAACUAUCACAUUUACAGAUUGAUUCUGAGUAAUCAGCACAGAUUUCUAAAAGAAACUUUAUGGGAUGCUGAGACAUGAAUAAAAACAACUUUAUUCCUUUGGAAAGGACAACCCACAUGCUAAGAAGAUGACACUACACGUUGUUAUAGCCCGAAAGGCCCUCUUUCCACAGGGGAGCAGUGAAAAGUAGAGGUUGCCCAUGUGGAUUCCCAAGUCAGAUAGAUGUGGAUUCAGAUCCCAGCUCUGCUGCUUGCUACCCAAGAGACCAUGGACUGUGGACUCUUUAGGUCUCAGGGUUUUUGUUUGUUGUCUGUUUUUCACUUCCAAAACCAGAAAAUGAGAAGAUAUUUUCCAUAAGAUGGCGGUGGAGAAGAGAACUUGAUGGACCUUGCUUGGACAAAAUGCCUUCACCGCUAACUCAGUCAGCUAUGGCGAUGGGUCAAGGACCUGGUGGUUUUACAGAGAAGACCCUUGGUCAAAUCUUUGUGAAUGAAGCAACCAUUCUGAUGUUCAAUAACAGGAAUGCACCAGUUUAUACCAAACUAUCUGUACUAUUGAGAACAGCAAAAAUAUCUGACCAAAAACACCAAAGAGUGACAUUUUAAAAGACAUCAAAGAACUCUCAAGGCUUCCAGAGUUGGAAAGAUCAAGAAAGAGAGAAUGCAACUUCAUUAAGACACAAAAAGGAACAGGAUACAGAAGUGGAGGCAGUUCAGCGAAAAAGAUGAGAAGAAGGAGAAUGUCCACAAAUAAAUUUCACUUAUAAAAGUUCAGAUAAAAA
ensembl:lncRNA LINC02347 long intergenic non-protein coding RNA 2347